AGAGAGAGACAUGCGCGCAUAUCAAUAAGCGGAGGAAAAGAAACUAACAAGGAUUCCCCUAGUAACGACGAGUGAAGCGGGAAGAGCUCAAAUUUGAAAUCUUAAAGGGUUUCCCUUUACGAAUUGUAGUUUAAAGAAGUGUUUUCUGUUGAGGUUUUGGUAAAAGUUCUUUGGAAUAGGACAUCAUAGAGGGUGAGAAUCCCGUAUUUGACCUUUACUUUCAACUUUGUGAUACACUUUCAAAGAGUCGGAUUGUUUGGGAAUGCAGUCCAAAAUGGGUGGUAAAUUUCAUCUAAAGCUAAAUAUUGGCGAGAGACCGAUAGCGAACAAGUACCGUGAGGGAAAGAUGAAAAGAACUUUGAAAAGGAGAGUUAAACAGUACGUGAAAUUGUCAAAAGGGAAGCGUUUGACACCAGUGUUGUUUUUCUGAAAAUCAAUUAAAGAACUGUUUAUGCUAAGCUGUUUAGACUUUAUCAGCUAUCUGUUUAGUUUUGAGCUUUUCUUUAAUGCACUUUUCAGUUAACAAGUCAACAUCAAUUUCUUUUGCUGUAAAAAAGCUUGAGGAAGGUGGCUUGAGAUUCGUCUUAAGUGUUUAUAGCCUCUUGCCUAUGCAGUCGGAGAGAUUGAGGUCUGCAGCGUAGAUCCUUCGGGGCUAAAUGCAUUUGUGCUAAGUUAUAGCAUUUUAUAGACAACUUGUUGACUAUGAUUUGUCUUGUAGCUUACUCGCUUAUGUUAUUUUACCUACGCUUAGGAUGUUGACGCAUGAGAUAUACGC
rnacentral:rRNA from 1 species